rnacentral:rRNA from 1 species
AUUGAACGCUGGCGGCAUGCUUUACACAUGCAAGUCGAACGGCAGCGCGGGCUUCGGCCUGGCGGCGAGUGGCGAACGGGUGAGUAAUACAUCGGAACGUGCCCAGUAGUGGGGGAUAGCUCGGCGAAAGCCGGAUUAAUACCUCAUACGACCUGAGGGUGAAAGCGGGGGAUCUUCGGACCUCGCGCUAUUGGAGCGGCCGAUGGCAGAUUAGCUAGUUGGUGGGGUAAAGGCCUACCAAGGCGACGAUCUGUAGCUGGUCUGAGAGGACGACCAGCCACACUGGGACUGAGGCACGGCCCAGACUCCUACGGGAGGCAGCAGUGGGGAAUUCUGGACAAUGGGCGAAAGCCUGAUCCAGCAAUGCCGCGUGUGUGAUGAAGGCCUUCGGGUUGUAAAGCACUUUUGGCGGGAACGAAAAGGACUGUGCCAAUACCACGGUUCGAUGACGGUACCCGCAGAAUAAGCACCGGCUAACUACGUG